AUGCAGGCGAGGAGGAGUCCCAGCGGCGGAGCUCCAUGGGAGGCGCAGCUAUGCACGGCAGACGAGCAGGAGGCUCACGGGGCCUCGGGUGCGGCGUGCAGAGGAGGCAGCGGCGCGACUCUGGAGCAUGGCAGGAGGAGGAGAGGAGGAAGGAGAUCGGGAAGAGAAGGUUGGUGGCGCUGGGAGAUCGAAGAAAGAGGAGGGGGGAUCCAGCAAGUCCUCCUGGCUCGAUGCGUGCGUUGA
rnacentral:rRNA from 1 species